GAUGAACGCUGGCGGCGUGCCUAAUACAUGCAAGUCGAGCGAAUGGAUUAAGAGCUUGCUCUUAUGAAGUUAGCGGCGGACGGGUGAGUAACACGUGGGUAACCUGCCCAUAAGACUGGGAUAACUCCGGGAAACCGGGGCUAAUACCGGAUAACAUUUUGAACCGCAUGGUUCGAAAUUGAAAGGCGGCUUCGGCUGUCACUUAUGGAUGGACCCGCGUCGCAUUAGCUAGUUGGUGAGGUAACGGCUCACCAAGGCAACGAUGCGUAGCCGAGCUGAGAGGGUGAUCGGCCAAAGUGGGACUGCGACACGGUCCGGACGCCUACGGGAGGCAGCAGUAGGGAAUCUUGCGCAAUGGACGAAAGUCUGACGGAGCAACGCCGCGUGAGUGAUGAAGGCUUUCGGGUCGUAAAACUCUGUUGUUAGGGAAGAACAAGUGCUAGUUGAAUAAGCUGGCACCUUGACGGUACCUAACCAGAAAGCCACGGCUAACUACGUGCCAGCCGCCACCGUAA
rnacentral:rRNA from 1 species